CUGGCGUUCGGUAUAGCGUGUGGCUGCGCGAUACCGGAGGCGAGACUCAAAUCAGACCACUAAACAUGUAGAUCUGCUCGAGGAUGGCUUGCGGACGGGGGUUCAAAUCCCCCCAGCUCCACCA
rnacentral:tmRNA from 1 species